AGGGAUGUCCCAGUGCUCUUCCAGCAUUCCUGAUAGGAGCUUGAAAGGAGCAGGAGGAAGCCCUGUUAGAAGGCCAAAGGCAGAGACGUGCUUGCCGCCCUGGUUUCGUCUUUAGCAAUCUGGGAGCAGCAGAGCGCUCCGUCCAAGCCAAAGGUUGCGGCUGCCUAAUGAAAACAGAUGAAGCAGAGAUAAAGUGUUUGCCGACAUUAGGGGCUCCAUUCAUCACCGUUAGCCUAGGGGCUUCGGAGCACCUUGGACAGGGACUUCUCCCUCUCUGGAUCCCUCCAUCAUGCAGCAGGAGAUGGGCUGCCUGUUCAAACCCUCCAGCCGUAGACCUGUCUGGAUUUAUAUGCUUUCUGGAACAAUGAGAUGCGGUAAGUACUGUAGGUAUAUCAGCUCUAGGCUGAGUGGAGAGCUUAUUAGGUUCUGUCUUGUACCUGAGUGGAGCUUAUGUUUUGAAGUCAACCUCUAUCCCAACCAUCAAUGAGAAACUACCACCAUAGGACCCACCACUGACCAGAUAUUGUUUGGGUGGUGGAUUGCUACGUUAUGUUUUUCACUGGUUUAAGUGUUUGUGGUAUUUUUGAUCACCUCAGCAUGAACCAAAAAAGUCCAGUCAACAAUGUUCUUGUAGACAGAAACUGACCACUGAUGAAAGGCUAGAAGAUUACUAACAUAAAUUGUGCAUGACAUGACAGUUACACUGGGAUACAGUCUAGCUGUACACUAGAAAAGUUGCGUUACAAGGUCAUUUCUAAUAAAAUGAGCAUACAAUUGUAUGCAAAAGUUUGGG